rnacentral:lncRNA from 1 species
CUUCCCCAGUCUCUUCCCCAGGCUCUUCCCCAGUCUCUUCCCCAGUCUCAGCCUCAUCCCCUGGUUCCCCCGAUACUUCCCCAGAUGGCAUCUCCCCCUAUGAGGACAUGGAGGGGUCGGGUGGCCAUACCCAGGAGGGCUCAACAGAUGAUACCCGGCCCACCCCAGCCUUAGAUAGCCAACCAGGUGUGGUCACGGACGAGACAGAGAUUGGAGGGGCGGAGAGCGUCACACACACCCCAUCUCACACACACUACACUUACACCAAAGACACACAAACUCCCUCUCAGACCGAGGUAGGAGACUUUGAGGGGUCUACGUCGACAGAAGAGGAAGGCUCGGCCCAGGAGGUGUACCCACCUGAAGACCCCAGAAUCACCAGCCCUGGCAGCCCUGGAGCCAUUGAGGCUCCCCUGGUGGGGCCUGGGGUGGAGGGACAGGUGACAGUUACACCCGAACCGGGAGCCAGACCAGGAGCCAGACCAGGAGCCAGACCAGCCCAGGCAGGAGGGACUGUAGGAGACCACACUGCACAUCACAUAGACUCUUCUACACAGCACACAGACUACCCCCUCCAGCCUACCAUGCAGGAUAAAGACCUCUGGACUCAUACUGAGGAUCAGACCAGAUACCCACCUACACAUGGGAAGGACCAAACCACCCAGCAUGCCUCACACCAUAGGGAUCACUCCACAUACACUAAGGAUCAUACCAAAUACCCCACUACACAAACCACCCAGCAUCCAACACACGAUGGAGAUCACUCCACACACACUAAAGAGCAAACCAAACAACCUUCUCACCCUAGAUUCCCCACCACCCACCACCAGGAGCAAACCAGCCUCUCUACCACAGAUCAGAAGACCACACAGCACCUGAACCUGACAUACACACACCCUGCUCACCCCUCCACUCCACCUCCCACCCACUCCUCCACUCCACCUUCUGCACAUCCCUCCACUCCACCUCCCACCCACUCCUCCACUCCACCUUCUGCACAUCCCUCCACUCCACCUCCCACCCACUCCUCCACUGCACCUUCUGCACAUCCCUCCACUCUACCUCCCACCCACUCCUCCACUCCACCUUCUGCACAUCCCUCCACUCUACCUCCCACCCACUUCUCCACUCCACCUUCUGCACAUCCCUCCACUCUACCUCCCACCCACUCCUCCACUCCACCUCCUGCACACCCCUCCACUUCAUUUCCCACCCACCCCUCCACUCCACCUCCUGCCCGGCCCUCCCGCCCCAUCCCUGACUGGGCCCUGACCACCCAGACCCUCCUGCCUGACGGGGAGGAGUUUGUGGAUUAUGACCGUGUGAAUGGUUCUCCUC